UACGUAGGGGCCAAGCGUUGUUCGGAUUUACUGGGCGUAAAGGGCGCGUAGGCGGCAAUUCAAGUCAUCUGUGAAAUCUCCGGGCUUGACCCGGAACGGUCAGGUGAUACUGUUUUGCUAGAGUGCGGAAGGGGCAAUCGGAAUUCUCGGUGUAGCGGUGAAAUGCGUAGAUAUCGAGAGGAACACCAGAGGUGAAGACGGGUUGCUGGGCCGACACUGACGCUGACAGCGCGAAAGCCAGGGGAGCAAACGGG
rnacentral:rRNA from 1 species